rnacentral:snRNA from 1 species
UUCUAAGCCAAAAUCCGUA